rnacentral:rRNA from 1 species
UGCGUAGGCGGGGCAAUUAGUCAGUGGUGAAAUCCUGCGGCUUAACCGUAGAACUGCCGUUGAUACUGUUGCCCUUGAGUAUAGUUGAGGUGGGCGGAAUGUGUAAUGUAGCGGUGAAAUGCAUAGAGAUUACACAGAACACCAAUUGCGAAGGCAGCUCACUAAGCUAUAACUGACGCUGAGGCACGAAAGCGUGGGGAGCGAACAGGAUUAGAUACCCUGGUAGUCC